GCCCUGGUAGCUUAAUGGUAGAGCAAUUGCUUCGUAAGCAAUAGGUUGAGGGUUCGAUACCCUUCCAGGGCU
rnacentral:tRNA from 1 species